GCCUUCCUGCCCUCUGCUGAAGUGCUCUUAGUUCUCAGUGCUCAGAGAUGGGCCGCAGCCGGAAAGCAGCACCCCGAAUCCAUCAGGCUACCUCCCGCAAGCCUAGGAAGAGCCUAAACUGGGUGGAGCAGAUCAACGCCAGAGAGACCAAGUCGGGCAGCUCCAAGAAGAGUGUUCUGGCCAUCUCCAAGCCAUCGCAGCAGCUGGAAUGACAUGGCUGUUCUGGGCAACACGGCGUAUUUCUAGUGCCGGGGGCACGGUGCAGGGGAGCGCGGGGGAGCCAGCAGGGUCUUUGCCCCAUCCCGCUGGCUGGCUGGCCGUCACACAACAGCAUCCUUGACGAAUAAACCAGGCAGCUUUUAGGCCA
rnacentral:lncRNA from 1 species